UACGUAGGGUGCGAGCGUUGUCCGGAAUUACUGGGCGUAAAGAGCUCGUAGGUGGUUUGUCGCGUUGUUCGUGAAAACUCACAGCUCAACUGUGGGCGUGCGGGCGAUACGGGCAGACUGGAGUACUGCAGGGGAGACUGGAAUUCCUGGUGUAGCGGUGAAAUGCGCAGAUAUCAGGAGGAACACCGGUGGCGAAGGCGGGUCUCUGGACAGUUCCUGACGCUGAGGCGCGAAAGCGUGGGGAGCAAACAGG
rnacentral:rRNA from 1 species